AAGUAGCAACAAAAGCAGAAUGUUUACUGACUAUAAUGACCUUCAGUAAUCUAGAUGCAGGCCUUUGUUCUACAUGAUGUAUGAGGAAUACAUAGUGGAUUUUUGGAUUUCACAGCAGUCAUGGAACAUGUUUAAAUUAAAUGUUGCUGCUGCGAGAAACCAAGAAAUUCCUAUUGUUGUGUGCAUAGGUAUGUGUCAUGGAGUGUCAUGGAAAAAGGAUAUAGAAAAUACAGGGAUAAGGAUGUGUCCAGGAAUGUGGCUGAAGUCUGUUAUACCAGUACAGAUAUAACUGUUGAUGGAUAACUGUUGAUAUCCUUAACAUGGGCGAUCGCCACGAUCAUCGUUACAGUCGGACUGUAAUAAAGUGUGUCCCCUACCGACCAUUGUCCCACACAAUCAUGGGACUGGAAAGCUAUGACUAUUACGAAAUGUGUGUAAUGGCUACCAGUCGGACACUUUCAUUGUCAUGCAGUAAACUAAUGAAGAUACAAUAUGGUGAAUGAUAGUUGCCACAAGGCCACCAAAAGACACAGUGAUCCAGAGAGAAAGUGACUCAGAGGUUCUUAUUAAAUGGUUUACUCCGAAAAGAAGAGAUAAUUGGAUACCAGGAAUGGCAGUGUUGCAAGAAGAGGUUAUGGUGUUAAAGAUGGGAACUUUCAGGAUACUAAUGAUAAGAAUAGACUGGUUCAGUGUUGGAUUUUACAUGCAAUAAAAAUCAGUAUAGCUCAUAUCUAUGUCUGAGUAUGACAAGAUGUUUCUUUUUUGAGGAUUCUAAUAUCUAUGUCAGAUCCAAAGGUAGUUGAACAGCUUGUUAAUAAAGCUGAAAUUGAUGGAAUAUUUUAAUCCACAUCAGACUGAAGAUAUAAAAGACAGGGUGGGGAAGAAGUAAAUACAAUUCUUGAGAUCUGUGUCAAAUCCAAAGUAUAACAGCUAUUACAAAAGUGGCACUUAAUAAAAAAAAUUGACACAGAAAUCAAGAGUGCUUCACAUAAUGUCUAUAGUCUUAUAAACUCUUGGCCUCUGAAUGACAAUAGAGCAUUAUGGGUAAAAUAAGCAGAUGUUCUCUUGAAGAGCAAUAUUGGUAAAGUAGAAAAGUUAGAAGAGACAUAAAUUUAAUGUAUGACCAGUUCUCAAAUAUGAUUUUUUUCCUCACUGGUUAGCCAGAAUAAUGUGAACUCAUGUUUCCAGUUAAUGAGUUAUGGCAAUUCAGUUUUGGGUGAAAUAAGUGUAUAAUUUACUGACAAUUAGUAAAGUUUAUUAAGAAAGUUGGGAAACACAUACACCUAAUGGGGCUUUAGCAGGAGGCAUUCAGAACAGUCUGAAACAGUUAAAAUUAGACAGUCUCUAAGUUUUAUAAUAUAUUUCUACUAAUUAUACAUGAGGAGACAUAUUGUUUUUGCCUUCACAGUCCAUCCAU